rnacentral:rRNA from 1 species
GAUUAUGGCUCAGGAUGAACGCUAGCGGCAGGCUUAACACAUGCAAGCGAGGGCAACGCGAGUAGCAAUACUUGGCGGCGACCGGCGCAAGGGUGCGUAACGCGUGAGCAACAUGCCCGUAUCAGGGGGAUAAUCCAGGGAAACUUGGUCUAAUACCCCAUAGUAAUUUUGUAAGGCAUCUUAUAAGAUUUAAAGCUUUGGUGGAUACGGAUUGGCUCGCGUGACAUUAGCUGGAUGGUAAGGUAACGGCUUACCAUGGCUAUGAUGUCUAGGGGUUCUGAGAGGAAGGUCCCCCACACUGGAACUGAGACACGGUCCAGACUCCUACGGGAGGCAGCAGUGAGGAAUAUUGGACAAUGGAUGGAAAUCUGAUCCAGCCAUGCCGCGUGAAGGAAGAAGGUCCUAUGGAUUGUAAACUUCUUUUGUAUGGGAGCAAUAAGGCCUACGAGUAGGUUGAUGAGAGUACCAUACGAAUAAGCACCGGCUAACUCCGUGCCAGCCGCUGC